ACAUUUUCUUUGAACAAGCAGAGACAGAG
rnacentral:piRNA from 1 species